rnacentral:lncRNA from 10 species
UGAAUGACUCAAAAGCCUGUUUCAGUGGAUUUAGGUGAAAGUGCCUGUGCUCUCAUUAGCUCCAUGGGAAGGCUCCAGGAGGCUGACCUGAAUGACAUACAUCAGUGAACUCCUUUGGCCUCUGUCAGACCCACCAAAUCAGAAAAUCUUACACUCCUACAAGAAAUUCAUGGUAAGAUGAAAGAGCCACAUCUGGGGCUGGGCACCUGCAGGCACAGACCCAUUCACCUGCCACUUUUGCAGUAGUGUCUUUCCCUCAGCUCACACCCACAUCUCCGUGGGGGCAGGAGCCCCUAGGAUCGGCUGAUGAAGGAGGUAAAAGGCCAAACUUGGUUUACAGAGGGGUUGGCUCUUUAUAUGGGUAUAAGCAGUAUAGGGCCUGCUUACUACAGCUCUGUUCAGGGGUGGUCUGAAAGAAAGACUGAAGAGAAAUUCUUCUAACAAGCAGAGAUCUGGGAAGUGUACAUGUUUAUCCACUUCGUGUGCAAAGAGAAGUGGUGUACAGUAAGAACACAUGUGGGCUCAUUGUCAGUAAAAAAAAAAUGGCUUGUCCAGUUAACCAGAGCCAGGAAGGAGAAAGUUUGGAGGAUUAGGGUUGAAGAGACCUAGGGAAGAAGUGCGUGAAAGCCUCUUUGAGAGAGAUAAUGUGUGACAAGGUUUGUAUCAAAUAUUAAUGCUCAACAGAGAGUAUCUUCCAGGGAAAAGGCACUACAACCCAGUAGGCAAAAGGACCCAGCCAGUUGACAUCAGUCAUUGGUCACUCUGAUGCUAACAAAUGGACCUCACACCAUGGCAGCAGAGAUGGAAGCUAUGCAUAGAUCCAACAGCAUGGGCGCCCUCUUACUAAGACUGAUCUGCCACCCUGUAUGUCCAGCCUUGUAGGAACAUAGACCAAUACUGAGCCACUGAUUCAGCACAUCCUCUGUGGAGACCAACCAGCCACUUGGUGGCAAGAGAUUACAUUGGAACCCUCUCAUCUCAGAAGGAGCAGUGCUUCGUGUUGACUGAAUCAACAUGUGCACCAGAUACAAGACUCCCUUUUCUGCCUGGAAUAAUCUGCCAGUAUGACUCUCAAAAGGCUUAACUCACGGACAUAGGAUCCCAUGUAGCACUGCAUUGGAUUGAGAGAUAGAGAACUCAGUUAAAAACAAGGAGGUGUGGCAGUGGGCCCUUGACUAUGGUAUCCCCUGGCCUUAUCACAUCCUAUGUCACUCAGAAGUUGAGAUCUGAAAGAGUGAAAAAAAAGCUGCUUACUAGCCACUGAGGACCCAGCUUGGAGAUGAUAAGCUGUGAAGAUGGGCGCUGUUCUCCAGACAUAAUAUAUAUGUCCUAAAUCAACAACCUUUCCCUAGAGCUGUGUCCCCAGUAGAUAGCAAGUGCGAGUCUGGAAAUCAAAGAGUAGAAAUAGGCAUAGCUCGGCUUAUAUCACUUCAAGUGACCAAUGUAGGGAAUUUAUGCUUCUUACUACACUCCCAGGCUUUUGUGGUUUAGAAGUCCUAGUUUCUAAAGGGAGAACAUUUCCACCAGGAAACUCAGCAGGAGACCCAUUAAGCUUUAAGCUAUGCUUACUGAAUGUCGCUCAUGCCAAAGCCUAUCAGAAAAGGGAAAUAGCCUUCAUCCCAGCAGGAGUAAUGGGCCCUGAUGAUCAGGAGGAGGUGGGGCUGCUGUUACUCCCUGGGAUUCUCUUGGAACCCUCUUGCCUAAUUUCAACAAAAAAUGGACAAAUGCAGUGGUCAUGGCCUGAGAAAGGCUCAGAUCUUACUGUUGAAGGUGGAGGUGUCCCCAACAGAUGUUACAUUUAAGAAAACUUCUUGAAUGUACAUGACAAAGAAUGAACAAGCAUAUUUAUUGCAACAUUGUUUAUAAUAGCAAUAAAGGUAAGCAACUUAAUAGGGGACUAAAUAAAUUGUGGUAUAUUUUUACAAUGACAGAGUAUACAGUAGUAAAAACAGUGAGGUGGAGCCCUAAGUGCUAACUUGGAAAAAGCUUCAGGAAAUAUCACUGAGUGAAAAAGGAGAUUGCAGAAUGAUAAAUGUAAUGUGAUGCAUUUUAUCAGGGCUAUUUAGGAAAAUUAUGGCCUAAUAGAAAUGACCUGGGCUGAGUGAGAGGAGCAGAAAUGGGGAGAGUGAUUAUUGCCCCUCGCUUGCUUUGCCUCCUUUAGCCAUUUCUUCCUGUUCUCUCAAUCAUUCUUUCCCCUCUUUCACUCCACAUUCUUUCCUUUCUUCAUCACUUCUUUUCAUAGUUAAAAUUGAAGCCAAGUCUACCCUCUAGGAAUUGUAUGUGUUUGUGCUCAUUAACAACCAGUUGAACUCUGUUGAUUAGCAAUAUGGUCAAUCCAAACUGGUUGUUAAAGUGUCAAAAUAAAUGGAUCCAAUACCUGCACCCGGGCUCACAUGAUCUCGUUGAUGAAUAAUUAAUAUAGCCUCAAUAUGAUGCAUUAUAUGGAAACCUGCCUGCUUUGGCUACUGUGAAAGCUUAAAAAUAAACCAACCACUUGACAAAGUUACAAAAAAAUAUAUAAAAAAGAAAUUUGCAGUAUGGGUUGAAUGAAUAAUAAAUAUAUAGUGUUUGCAUUAAAGAAAGUACCAGUGGCAUUGUACUUUGUGUUAUUAUUAGAGUGUGUAGAUUAUUUGAUUUGAAGAAU